rnacentral:rRNA from 1 species
UACGUAGGCAGCAAGCGUUGUUCGGAGUUACUGGGCGUAAAGGGUGUGUAGGCGGUUGUUUAAGUUUGGUGUGAAAUCUCCCGGCUCAACUGGGAGGGUGCGCCGAAUACUGAAUGACUCGAGUGCGGGAGAGGAAAGUGGAAUUCCUGGUGUAGCGGUGAAAUGCGUAGAUAUCAGGAGGAACACCGGUGGUGUAGACGGCUUUCUGGACCGUAACUGACGCUGAGACACGAAAGCGUGGGUAGCAAACAGGAUUAG